rnacentral:rRNA from 1 species
GAUGAACGCUAGCGGCAGGCUUAAUACAUGCAAGUCGAGGGGCAACAGGGGUAGCGAUACCUGCUGGCGACCGGCAAACGGGUGCGCAACACGUACAGAACCUUCCUUUAAGCGGGGGAUAGCCCAUAGAAAUGUGGAUUAAUACCCCAUAGUAUAAUUGUCUGGCAUCAGAUGGUUAUUAAAGAUUUAUCACUUAGAGAUGGCUGUGCGUCUGAUUAGGAGUUGGUUGGGGUAAAGGCUCACCAAGCCUUCGAUCAGUAACUGGUGUGAGAGCACGACCAGUCACACGGGCACUGAGACACGGCCCAGACUCCUACGGGAGGCAGCAGUGGGGAAUAUUGGACAAUGGGCGCAAGCCUGAUCCAGCCAUGCCGCGUGAGUGAUGAA